rnacentral:rRNA from 1 species
ACGAAGGGGGCUAGCGUUGUUCGGAAUCACUGGGCGUAAAGCGCAUGCAGGCGGAUCGCUAAGUCGGGGGUGAAAGCCCGAGGCUCAACCUCGGAACUGCCUUCGAUACUGACGAUCUUGAGUCCGGGAGAGGUGAGUGGAACUCCGAGUGUAGAGGUGAAAUUCGUAGAUAUUCGGAAGAACACCAGUGGCGAAGGCGGCUCACUGGCCCGGUACUGACGCUGAGAUGCGAAAGCGUGGGGAGCAAACAGGAUUAGAUACCCUGGUAGUCCACGCCGUAAACGAUGGAUGCUAGCCGUCAGCCAGCAUGCUGGUUGGUGGCGCAGCUAACGCAUUAAGCAUCCCGCCUGGGGAGUACGAUCGCAAGAUUA